rnacentral:misc_RNA from 1 species
UCUCCGUAGGUGAACCUGCGGAGGGAUCAUUACAGAGUUCAUGCCCUACCGGGUAGAUCUCCCACCCUAUGUUAUUAUUACUUUGUUGCUUUGGCGGGCCCGCCUCGAUGAGAGGCCGCCGGAAGCUCACCGCUUUGGGCCCGUGCCCGUCAGUAGCCCCCUUAAAUUCUUAAUAAACCUGUCGUCUGAGUUAAUGGAUAUAAUGAAAAAAAACUUUCAACAACGGAUCUCUUGGUUCUG